rnacentral:rRNA from 1 species
GGUUCUCCCCGAAAGCUAUUUAGGUAGCGCCUCGUGAAUUCAUCUCCGGGGGUAGAGCACUGUUUCGGCUAGGGGGCCAUCCCGGCUUACCAACCCGAUGCAAACUGCGAAUACCGGAGAAUGUUAUCACGGGAGACACACGGCGGGUGCUAACGUCCGUCGUGAAGAGGGAAACAACCCAGACCGCCAGCUAAGGUCCCAAAGUCAUGGUUAAGUGGGAAACGAUGUGGGAAGGCCCAGACAGCCAGGAUGUUGGCUUAGAAGCAGCCAUCAUUUAAAGAAAGCGUAAUAGCUCACUGGUCGAGUCGGCCUGCGCGGAAGAUGUAACGGGGCUAAACCAUGCACCGAAGCUGCGGCAGCGACGCUGAUGCGUUGUUGGGUAGGGGAGCGUUCUGUAAGCCUGCGAAGGUGGCCUGUGAGGGUUGCUGGAGGUAUCAGAAGUGCGAAUGCUGACAUAAGUAACGAUAAAGCGGGUGAAAAGCCCGCUCGCCGGAAGACCAAGGGUUCCUGUCCAACGUUAAUCGGGGCAGGGUGAGUCGACCCCUAAGGCGAGGCCGAAAGGCGUAGUCGAUGGGAAACGGGUUAAUAUUCCCGUACUUGGUGUUACUGCGAAGGGGGGACGGAGAAGGCUAUGUUGGCCGGGCGACGGUUGUCCCGGUUUAAGCGUGUAGGUGUGUGUUCCAGGUAAAUCCGGUUCACUUUAACACUGAGGCGUGAUGACGAGGCACUACGGUGCUGAAGCAACAAAUGCCCUGCUUCCAGGAAAAGCCUCUAAGCAUCAGGUAACAUCAAAUCGUACCCCAAACCGACACAGGUGGUCAGGUAGAGAAUACCAAGGCGCUUGAGAGAACUCGGGUGAAGGAACUAGGCAAAAUGGUGCCGUAACUUCGGGAGAAGGCACGCUGACA